rnacentral:rRNA from 1 species
GUCCACAGCCAUGGCACCCUGAACAAGCCGAAUGUCUGAUCUCAGAAGUUAAGCAGGGUUGGGCCUGCUUAGAUGGGAGACCACUUAGGAAGACAAGGUGCUGUUGGCA